UACGAAGGGGGCUAGCGUUGUUCGGAUUUACUGGGCGUAAAGGGCGCGUAGGCGGAUUUUUAAGUCGGGGGUGAAAUCCCGGAGCUCAACUCCGGAACUGCCUUCGAUACUGAAAGUCUGGAGCACGGUAGAGGUGAGUGGAAUUCCGAGUGUAGAGGUGAAAUUCGUAGAUAUUCGGAGGAACACCAGUGGCGAAGGCGGCCCACUGGACCGUUGCUGACGAUGAGGCGCGAAAGAGUGGGGAGCAAACAGG
rnacentral:rRNA from 1 species